rnacentral:rRNA from 1 species
GAAACCGAGUCUUAACUGGGCGUUAAGUUGCAGGGUAUAGACCCGAAACCCGGUGAUCUAGCCAUGGGCAGGUUGAAGGUUGGGUAACACUAACUGGAGGACCGAACCGACUAAUGUUGAAAAAUUAGCGGAUGACUUGUGGCUGGGGGUGAAAGGCCAAUCAAACCGGGAGAUAGCUGGUUCUCCCCGAAAGCUAUUUAGGUAGCGCCUCGUGAAUUCAUCUCCGGGGGUAGAGCACUGUUUCGGCAAGGGGGUCAUCCCGACUUACCAACCCGAUGCAAACUGCGAAUACCGGAGAAUGUUAUCACGGGAGACACACGGCGGGUGCUAACGUCCGUCGUGAAGAGGGAAACAACCCAGACCGCCAGCUAAGGUCCCAAAGUCAUGGUUAAGUGGGAAACGAUGUGGGAAGGCCCAGACAGCCAGGAUGUUGGCUUAGAAGCAGCCAUCAUUUAAAGAAAGCGUAAUAGCUCACUGGUCGAGUCGGCCUGCGCGGAAGAUGUAACGGGGCUAAACCAUGCACCGAAGCUGCGGCAGCGACGCUUAUGCGUUGUUGGGUAGGGGAGCGUUCUGUAAGCCUGUGAAGGUGUGCUGUGAGGCAUGCUGGAGGUAUCAGAAGUGCGAAUGCUGACAUAAGUAACGAUAAAGCGGGUGAAAAGCCCGCUCGCCGGAAGACCAAGGGUUCCUGUCCAACGUUAAUCGGGGCAGGGUGAGUCGACCCCUAAGGCGAGGCCGAAAGGCGUAGUCGAUGGGAAACAGGUUAAUAUUCCUGUACUUGGUGUUACUGCGAAGGGGGGACGGAGAAGGCUAUGUUGGCCGGGCGACGGUUGUCCCGGUUUAAGCGUGUAGGCUGGUUUUCCAGGCAAAUCCGGAAAAUCAAGGCUGAGGCGUGAUGACGAGGCACUACGGUGCUGAAGCAACAAAUGCCCUGCUUCCAGGAAAAGCCUCUAAGCAUCAGGUAACAUCAAAUCGUACCCCAAACCGACACAGGUGGUCAGGUAGAGAAUACCAAGGCGCUUGAGAGAACUCGGGUGAAGGAACUAGGCAAAAUGGUGCCGUAACUUCGGGAGAAGGCACGCUGAUAUGUAGGUGAAGUCCCUCGCGGAUGGAGCUGAAAUCAGUCGAAGAUACCAGCUGGCUGCAACUGUUUAUUAAAAACACAGCACUGUGCAAACACGAAAGUGGACGUAUACGGUGUGACGCCUGCCCGGUGCCGGAAGGUUAAUUGAUGGGGUCAGCGCAAGCGAAGCUCUUGAUCGAAGCCCCGGUAAACGGCGGCCGUAACUAUAACGGUCCUAAGGUAGCGAAAUUCCUUGUCGGGUAAGUUCCGACCUGCACGAAUGGCGUAAUGAUGGCCAGGCUGUCUCCACCCGAGACUCAGUGAAAUUGAACUCGCUGUGAAGAUGCAGUGUACCCGCGGCAAGACGGAAAGACCCCGUGAACCUUUACUAUAGCUUGACACUGAACAUUGAGCCUUGAUGUGUAGGAUAGGUGGGAGGCUUAGAAGUGUGGACGCCAGUCUGCAUGGAGCCGACCUUGAAAUACCACCCUUUAAUGUUUGAUGUUCUAACGUUGACCCGUAAUCCGGGUUGCGGACAGUGUCUGGUGGGUAGUUUGACUGGGGCGGUCUCCUCCUAAAGAGUAACGGAGGAGCACGAAGGUUGGCUAAUCCUGGUCGGACAUCAGGAGGUUAGUGCAAUGGCAUAAGCCAGCUUGACUGCGAGCGUGACGGCGCGAGCAGGUGCGAAAGCAGGUCAUAGUGAUCCGGUGGUUCUGAAUGGAAGGGCCAUCGCUCAACGGAUAAAAGGUACUCCGGGGAUAACAGGCUGAUACCGCCCAAGAGUUCAUAUCGACGGCGGUGUUUGGCACCUCGAUGUCGGCUCAUCACAUCCUGGGGCUGAAGUAGGUCCCAAGGGUAUGGCUGUUCGCCAUUUAAAGUGGUACGCGAGCUGGGUUUAGAACGUCGUGAGACAGUUCGGUCCCUAUCUGCCGUGGGCGCUGGAGAACUGAGGGGGGCUGCUCCUAGUACGAGAGGACCGGAGUGGACGCAUCACUGGUGUUCGGGUUGUCAUGCCAAUGGCACUGCCCGGUAGCUAAAUGCGGAAGAGAUAAGUGCUGAAAGCAUCUAAGCACGAAACUUGCC